CCUCACCGCUUUGGUUCCAGUUCAGAACCAGUGUUUCCCUAGCAACCACACACACGUAAUAUAGCCAUGGCUAUAAGCUCCUUAGAGCUGAUUCUGGAUGCUGGCAGCCAUGAGGAUGGCACUGCAUUGCUCCCUGCAGUACUGUACAGAGUAUGACACGUCCACUGGUCUGCUGUCAUGGCUGGAGCUGGGCUUUGUUACCUCCAUCCACCCACCUCACUUUCUCUGGUAGCCUGCUGGGACAACAGAGAUGCUCAGGAAGAGGAGUCCUGACAGGGUACCUACCUGGACCUCUUGUGCUGGUUGACCAACGGGAGCCUGCAGGGACAUCUUAGGGAUGCUCACCUGUGUGAUUGUGAUUGGUCUUUCAUUGUCUUUGAGAAGAGGAAACUAAAGUAGAGAAGAAACGAAACAACCUUCCUGGUGCAUACUAGCUCAGCAGACUAGAGGACACAUAGCCCACAUCUCUGGACAGAUAAAUCCUCCAUCCAACAAACUGCAGCACAAGAACGAAUUAGGACAGCAUCCCUUGUGCACAUCCCAUCCCUCUUUACAAGAAGAUGGCUGCAUUUGGGAUGCAGGAAGAGUAGGGAUCUUAUUAGCUUAAAGCAACAGGCAACAGUUACUGUUUGAAAGUGUCUCAGCACAUUUAAUGGGCUGGUGAGCAUUAGAUUUGCCCUUUUAGAACAGGUCCUUUGGGAAAAUCCAUUAUUAAUUGUGAUCUCUUCUGUAGUGUCACCGAACUAUGAUGUUCAGCAAACCACACUCCAGUCCGAGGGGUAAUUUAGUUAUUUGGAGAGCUAAAAAUGAGGUUGAGAAGAGCCCAUUGCCAUUUUGAGAAUAAAAACCCAAGUGCAAGAUCUUUGCCCAGCUACCUAUUGAUAAUUGAUACCCCAUCUGUCCAAAACACCUCCGUCAGUCCUAUGUGCAUGCUUCUGCAGGAAAGCAAAGAGUGGAUAAGGUCUGAGCUGCACUCUGCCUCCCAGUGGGACUUUCUUGCAGCUGGGGACAUAAUGGGAGGUGGCUGCGGGCCGCUUUCAUUUGUGCUGGGAUGGCUAUUAAGAAUUCUGUGCUGCAAAAAUCAUCCAUUUGACAUCUUGUGCCAGCCUUAGAGAUAUUCUGUUUAAAACAAACAAGGCAAUUUCUUGAUAAUUUCGAGGCAGAGGGCAUGAAGAAAAAAAUGGUGAGCCUUCCUGGUCGUCAUGUAUAGCUGUGGGUUAGCACUUGUCCAUUACUCCCUUCCCCAGGUGCUGCGUUGCUGCCACACGCGAGAUUAACAAGGAGGUUAUAUUUAAACUUCCAAGAGGAGCUGCUGUGCGAUUAUGGGUCUAUUUAAAAUCCUCCGGGCAGCUGCAGUACAUAAUAACAAGUCAGCGGGAGGGAGAGGGAGAAGGGAAGGAGGAGAAGGAAAGGAAGGGGGGUCAGGAACGUCACAAAUUGUCUCCAAAAAAUCAAUAGCCAAAAGACAGCAGGAGGUAUAGCCAAGUUAAAGAUGCUCCCCGCAGAGAGGGAAAGGGAAGGGGGGCAUGAGAGAGGUGCCAGCGCCGGAGGAGCACUGAUGGGGGGAUCGGAGAGGCUGGCAUGGAAAGCUGCCAGACCUGAAACCUCACUGCCUCAGGCAAGGACGUCAUUCCCUUAAACCCACUCGGCUUGCUCUGGAGGGCUCUGUCACACACCACUGGGUGCCUGUCCAGGCUUCCUCAGAUCACAGGCGUCGGAAUGAGUAAAUAGCUAUUAUUAGACUGUCCUCUCCCGCCUGCCCACACACACACCUAACCCUUCAGGUCAGCACAAAACUGCCCCCAGAUAACAAACUCCCAGGGCUUUACCCAGUCCUAAGCUUUGCAACGUCCCCUGGGGAACUGUUCCCUGUCUCAACUGAUGGCAGAGGGUCUCCUCAAGAGGCAGCAGCAGCAGGGACCUAGAUCUUCCUGCCUCAGCACCAAGCACAUUUCUGGGGUGUUCUCCCAGUCUUCUCUAUCACCCCAUCACUGGAGUAGGGGCAGUGCAGAGGUUCCCCAGUCGCUCAGGGACAAAUGCCUUCAGCUCACUGUGACAUCAGAGAUCAGUGAGUCCCAUGGGGAGGCCAGGGGCAGCGAGACAGUGGUGGGCAGAGGGAGAACACUGCGCUCCAGUGCAGCAGGAAGUUGUGCGGGCAGCACCCAGCUGAGUGAGGAAAAGGGCCCUCAAUGCUCUGCUUCACUGGACGAUGAAGAACAUGAAGGUCACCUAUCUUCAUCAUAUGUGUCCACUUGACCUGACAGUCUCCUAAACAGAGUGUUUUCCUGUUUCACCAGGCCUAGCUGUAGCUUUUCUUCUCCAGCAUGUAUGUCAAUAAUAACAUUUUCAUGAAGUAAGUAAGCUUUUCAGAUCUCAAAUGUGUUGAGCUUUUCAGUUUGGCUUACUUGGUCCCUCUGCAUAACAAACUUCAAAUCCCAAAUGGCUUUGACCUCACUUCUGGAGUCCUGACAUCUGUUAGACAAAAAAGCCUGCGGAGAGCACCCCUUACUUAACUGAUACCAUCCUGCAAUUUAAGAGCUUAAUUAAGACCAAAUUACAUCUCCCCUCCCAUCUCUUUCACUCUGUUCUUUAUUACUUUAGUAAUAACAUCUGUUAAAUCAUGGAUGAAAAAAACUUGCAGCUACAUGUCAAAAUCCAUGCAAAAUACUUAAAAAUCAUGCCUGCUAAGGUAGCCUAUUGUCAGAUGUUACUAUGUCAGGUGUAUCAGCUGUGGAAAACCAAAUUUGGUACGCAUGAUCACCUACUUAGCUGGAGUGUCUUCUAAUAAGGUUCACUUGAAAUGAGAAUAAUAGCUUAGGACAAGUACAUACUGUAUUGUUUAAUUUUUGUUCCACUGGUAAUAUGAAAAGAUGAGUGGCUAUUUUGUUGCAAGGGGCCAACUUUCUUGUACCAUUAACUUUUUCACUUGACCUGGCCUACAUCUUUGCUAUGUCUGUGAAAAAGCUUUGGCAGCUUCUUCAAUAUCACUGCUCUUCAGUGCCCAGGAUAAAACCUCUUUGGCCCCUCCCAAGUUUCUUUUAAAUCCCUAAAUUACGCACAUAUAAUCUUUAGUCUCUCAUCUCAUAUUAACUGUACAUUUUUGCUUAGAAGUGCUGUCAAGAUCCACGCUGCUGAACUAAAUGAGACACAGAUUUUCCCACAAAGAUCUUGCUUCUUUUUCCUUGUCCGUGAGGGUGGUAUUGGUGAUACUGUGAUCUAUCUAUGUUAACAAAUCUUCCAAGUAUGUCAUUUGGUUCUGGUUCUUCAUAAAGCUUCUCAGAUCCUCCAAUAAUAGAUUUAUGAAGUUUUAAUGCAGCUCAAAAUCUCCACUACCUAAAUGUUCAUACCCUCCGUAUUAGAACUCCUCCUCUUGCAGUAGCAGGAACUGAUCUAUUUUUAAACAUUUAUUUAUUCUUUCAGAGUCUAUGUGUCCAGCUUUAUACACUUCCCUUUACCACCUGAUGAUUCUCAGACAAAUAAACUUUUUGAAUUAAUCUAAUCUUCGCUUAACAUCAAAAGGGAAUCUUCUAGGAUCAUGAACCAUAAUCUGAUUCGGCUCUUCCUACCUUACCCUAUAGCCAGGCAGCUUCCAUCAUCCUUGGAAAACAUCCUCAUAUGGCAUCUUUAAGAGAUCUCAUCUUAACCGAUUUUAACUCUAGAACAACAAAUCAUUUCUUCUCAAGUUCACUGGGCUUUCAGACAUGCUUUUAGUUCAUUUACUCCCCUCCAAAAUCUAACUCACCCCCAUACGUCCUGAGUUUCCCUACUUUAUCACUUCCUUCCAUUAGUUUUUCUUUCAAAGCUAAUGUCAUUUUUUCUGGCAUCAGACUAACAUACUCCCACUUCAAGAAGUAUCCCACUUGCUUUGAGACUAAGAUCAAAAUCAUCUGCUAUUGCAAAAUAAUCCUUUCAGAUAGAAAGAGCUGCCCAGUUUUAAUGAUGUUGGUAUCUUCUUUAACUACAUUGGGAUUGCGUUUGCAAGUAAAACACAGCACUGCAGUUCCUACACUCUUUUCUCAAAUGUCAGCCCUGAGAUGGUUAUUGUUUGUUGCAACACAGGAGCUCCCUGUGCCAUUUCAGGUGGGUGCUGACUUUGAAGCAGAAAGGUGGCCAGAGCACUUUCUGCAGACUUCUCCUUUUGCAGUAUGUUGGAUUCCUCACCAAACCUGCUGUGUUUGUGGAUUUAGCGAUUCCUCCACUUGGGAAAUUCAAAGUACUUAUCCAAGGUUAACCAUGGAUACUCCUGUGUUUGUGAUCUCUCCCCCAUCACCCACAGAGUUUUGUUGCAUCCUACCAUCAUCUUUCUGUUUACUAGGGACUGCCUUAACCUCUUAGAUUGACAGAAAGACCAGAAAGAGUCUUCAUCCUUUCAUCUUUCACAAGCCUUCUUGAGUUUUUUGUCUUUUUAAUGCUGUGGUUCAAAACCACAAAUUGAAUUUGCACUGGCUGCCAGAUCACUCUAUCUAUACUCUCCCAACUCUCUUCAAACGUAACCUUAUGCUAUGGCUGAAACCCCUGAGAACAGCCCAUGCUCCAGCACAGGAGUUGCCUCCAGUUACCUACUCUUUUCAUUUUACUUGCAGGGUUAGAAUCAGUUACCAUGUAAGUUUUCCCUUGCAUCACCAGUAAUUCCAGAGACAAAGCUCUGGCAAGGCUUUUGUCUGUUCUUUCUUCUACUCAUCAUGUUUUCUUAGCUCCUUUUACUCCUGUUGCCAUGUGUUCUUCAGCAGUUGCUCAGAGCCUAGAUGAUGCCCACUUCAUUCAGCAUUUACUGACAGGCCACUCUGCAGGAGUAAGGGGAACAUCUCUUUAACACAACUGACUACUGCUGGCUCCUGACAAACCAUCUUAAAGUUAGAUGUCCCCACAAGCCCUGGAGAACAUGUCUUCUGUGCAAGGACUUUCUCAGGCAGCUCAGAAAUGACAAGCCAAAAGCCACUCAAAAGGUAGCAGACAUUACAAAUCAACAUUACUCUUGUGUGGGAUUUGCCUAUGCUUGUCCUAUUUUAGAAUACAUUUCUGAUAAUGGCCAAGGUUUUCUUGGGAAGGCCUAGUGAUCACUCCAUUUUCCAAGAGCUUCUGGUCAUGUAAAAAAAAGCAGAUACUACUGUACAGUGAGUGGCCAUCCUCGAACAAACUUUGGAAACAGAUUCAGUCAAUCAUGCGGAGCUGCAGAAUGUCUUCCCUUUAACAGGCACACCUGGCUCAGUUAUAAUUUCACCAGCCACGUCCCUCACAGAGCUGUAUUUCUACACUCCUGUAUUCCCUAGAUACUAUACAAAGUAACUUGGAAUAGACCUACACUGCCUCACAGGAUGAUCCAGAAGACACUGUGCUGCUCAUAGCCACGCAACAUAUCCAAUUGCAGAUAAGAACAAUUGCAGGAGGCAAAAUUCUAACCAUCCUGGACAAUUGCCACGCAGAGUCCAAGCAAAGUACCUCUCCUAGACACUAUGCUACUCAUCAGGCUUUCAUAAGGACACAAAUCUAUAUGGAAAAAGGAUGCACUUGUUUCAUAGCUCUAGUUUAUAAUACUAGGAUCAGAGAGCAGCAUGUUCUAGCCAUCUCAUAACACAUCCAUUUUUUAAUCUAUUCUCCUUAAGAAAUAUUUGCAGAUGUAAAUAUGCCAACACGCCAUCUUGGACCCAUACAAACUCCCUCUGAAUGCCGCAGUGUAACAUCUUAUGUUAUGCAGGACAUCAGCACUAAGCCUCCAGCUCAGCCCCUCUUUGACAUAUCACAUGCAUGUCCUCAGAAUAGAAAUCCUUUGCUUCUUUGCCCAUCCUUCCACCUCAUCUCAUCUGCCUUCCUCAGAUCUCUGACAGCUUCAGCUCUAUGUUCUUAUCAGUGUUCCUUGUCAAAUACAAAUUCAGUACUAUGAUCCUGCACUUAAAAAUCCCCUUUAUUCCCCUACAAGACCCAUGAGCCACUGCUGCCCCUCUGAAGAGGAGAUACAGGUCCUCAGCAAGGAGAUAGAGUUGGUUUGAAUGAGCCCAGGAAAUAGCAACCAUACAGAAUAUUUUCCACCAUUCUCUCCCAUCCCUAUACCUUCUGUAGGUAUCCAGCUCUUCCCCCUUGCCAUAUCCCACCCUGUAUCUGCAUCUCCAUAUGUCCUCAGGAGGAGGAAGCAUCUAUGCACUGAGUGGUGAGGUAGAGAAGGCUGCAGAUCACAAGAACGAGGCAAGAGUUUCGCUGGUGAUAGGUUCUCCUUUGCUGAUGAGAGAGGAUUCCAAACAGCUUGAGGGGAAUUUCACUAGUGAGUUUUGUUGAAGGGGAAUAUGUAAGCAAUUCUGCUGCAUUUCUUGAACCAGCAAAACGAAACAAAACAAAAUAAAAAACAAAAAAACAUUGCUGUGUUGUUUAAAGUUGGAAGGUUAAAAAAACCUCCAAAUUAUCAUGUAUGAAAAGUCAAACUUCAAAAUAUUUCACAAAAAUAUAAAAGAAAUACUUGAAAAAUUCAAUUUUGGGAGAUCACAGGAAGAUAUUUCUUUUAGCCUGUCACCUACUCAGCUGACAGGCAAGGGAUCAGGCAGGGCCACAGCCUCUGUACAGAUCGAGCAAUCUGCCCUAUUUCCAUCACCAUUGUGACAGGCCUGAUGCAUACCCAGGGGACUUUUCAAUACUGUACAAUGAACAUUUUCCAGCAGAAAAUUGUUCCAUCAGAAACCUUUCAAUGAAAUCUACUGUACAUUUGAAACAUUUCAUAUAUACCAGAACACUGAGCAUACAUUCAUGCACUAUUCACAUUCUGUAAUCUCCAGUGCCUGUACAAAAGAAAGAACAAAGUAAAACAAGCUCCUUAAAAUGUCGAUCCCACGUGAAACAGCAAAUGAUCAGCACAAGCUUUUGUGAGAGGAACUCUAAGCUGGACUCCAAUUUUGCUUCUGUCACUUCAUCUCCCUCCAAAGGCUCUGGUUGCCAUCUCAUUUUUGGUUAGGAGCAUUUAGCUGCUUUGGGCUCUGAUCCCACUAUUGACUGCACAGCGGUUUCUGUUAUGUCUGUGAAGAUCCUCGCUGAAGUCCACAAGGAUCUGCCACAGAACCAGAGAAACACAAGUAAUCAAUGCACAGAAACCUAGUCUGCCACACCGGAACAUUUUCUGCCACACAGAAAUGCGUGCAUACUGCGCACAUGCUGGACUACAGACUCAACUUCAUAUUUUCUUGAAAGCUCACAUCCUCCCCUCCAGC